rnacentral:rRNA from 1 species
AUGGGAUCCGCCGCCUCCGCCGCCUCCGACGCAGCGCCGCCACCGCCUUCUCCAGCGCAACCACACGGGGCCCCGCCGCCGUAUGGGGCUGGGCUCGCCGGCAUCCUCCCUCAGAAGCCGGAUGGGGAUGAUAAGAAGGAGGAGAAGGUGGACUACCUCAACCUCCCCUGCCCCGUGCCGUACGAGGAGAUCCAGCGCGAGGCCCUCAUGUCUCUGAAGCCUGAACUUUUUGAAGGUUUGAGGUUUGACUUCACAAAGAUGUUAACCCAGAAGUUCGCUCUUAGCCAUAGUGUCCUUAUGGGCUCCCUGGAAGUUCCGUCUCAGUCAGCUGAUGUUAUAAAAGUCCCAACAUCACAGUAUGAAUUUGGUGCCAAUUUUUUAGAUCCAAAGUUAAUGCUUAUCGGAAGGUUGAUGACUGAUGGAAGGCUGAAUGCUCGUGUGAAAUGUGAUCUGACAGAGAAUCUCGCGCUGAAAAUAAAUGCGCAGCUUACUAGUGAGCCUCAUUACUCUCAAGGGAUGUUCAACUUUGACUACAAGGGCACCGACUAUCGAGCACAGUUUCAAAUUGGAAACAAUGCGUUCUAUGGGGCAAAUUAUAUCCAGAGUGUUACGCCAAAUUUGUCGAUGGGAACAGAGAUAUUCUGGCUUGGUCAGCAAAGGAAGUCAGGAAUUGGAUUUAAUUCUCGCUACAAUACAGAUAAGAUGGUGGGUACUCUACAGGUUGCUAGCACUGGUAUUGUUGCGUUAAGUUAUGUCCAGAAAGUUUCUGAAAAGGUGUCUCUUGCUACUGACUUUAUGUAUAACCACAUGUCCAGAGAUGUGACUUCCAGCGUUGGUUACGAUUAUAUCCUUAGGCAGUGUCGUCUAAGGGGCAAAGUUGACUCAAAUGGUGUCGUUGCUGCAUACUUGGAGGAGAGAUUGAACAUGGGUGUCAACUUUCUUCUGUCUGCAGAGAUUGACCAUCCGAAGAAGAACUACAAGUUUGGUUUUGGAAUGACUGUAGGAGAGUAG